rnacentral:rRNA from 1 species
AGCGAACGCUGGCGGCAGGCUUAACACAUGCAAGUCGAGCGGGCGUAGCAAUACGUCAGCGGCAGACGGGUGAGUAACGCGUGGGAACGUACCUUUUGGUUCGGAACAACACAGGGAAACUUGUGCUAAUACCGGAUAAGCCCUUACGGGGAAAGAUUUAUCGCCGAAAGAUCGGCCCGCGUCUGAUUAGCUAGUUGGUGAGGUAACGGCUCACCAAGGCGACGAUCAGUAGCUGGUCUGAGAGGAUGAUCAGCCACAUUGGGACUGAGACACGGCCCAAACUCCUACGGGAGGCAGCAGUGGGGAAUAUUGGACAAGGGGGGCAACCCUGAUCCAGCCAUGCCGCGUGAGUGAUGAAGGCCCUAGGGUUGUAAAGCUCUUUUGUGCGGGAAGAUAAUGACGGUACCGCAAGAAUAAGCCCCGGCUAACUUCGUG